AUGGCAUGGCAGGCCAAGAACAAAACUCAUAAAGUUGGUGUUGUCAUCACCUUCAUCUCUGCUAACCACAUAGAGAUUGGAGUCGAAUAACAACACAAGAUAU